UACGAACUGUGCGAACGUUAUUCGGAAUCACUGGGCUUAAAGGGUGCGUAGGCGGCUGCCUAAGUCAGGUGUGAAAUCUCCCGGCUCAACCGGGAAACUGCGCUUGAUACUGGGCGGCUCGAGUGAGGUAGGGGUGUGUGGAACUUCCGGUGGAGCGGUGAAAUGUGUAGAUAUCGGAAGGAACGCCAGCAGCGAAAGCGGCACACUGGGCCUUUUCUGACGCUGAGGCACGAAAGCGUGGGGAGCAAACAGG
rnacentral:rRNA from 1 species